rnacentral:rRNA from 1 species
CACUUUAAGGUUAAAUAAAAAAGAUUAGUAUUUAGUUAAGUGAGAAUUUUUUAAUGAUUAUAAAUAAUAAAAGGUAGAAUUUAAUUGUUAUUUUGUAUGAGAUUAAUGAUUUAAAUUGAAACUAAAAAAUCUAAUUAUAAACUAGGAUUAGAUACCCUACUAUUUUGGAAAGAAAAAAUAAAAACUAAACUAGUAUUAGUUAUAUACUUUAAAAUUAAAAAAUUUGGCGGUGAUUUAAUCUUUUCAGAGGAAUUUGUUUUUUAAUCGAUAAUCCACGAAAAAUCUUACUUGUUUUUGUUAAAAUUAUAAACUCAGUUUGUAUACCGUCAUUAUCAGAUAAUUCUAAAAAGAAAAAUUAUCAAACAUAAUUAAUUAUUAAAAUUAGAUCAUGGUGCAGCUUAUAAACAAGUUAAAAUGAAUUACAAUAAAUUAUUUUAAAUGGAUUGAUAAAAUAAAUUUUAUUAUGAAGGAGGAUUUGAUAGUAUUAUAAUUUUAAUAAGUUUAUAAGACAAUGGCUCUAAAUCAUGUACAUAUCGCCCGUCGCUUUCAUUUAUAAAUGAAAUAAGUCGUAACAUA